AUUAGUUAAAGGGAUGUGUUCUUUUUGUGGAGCUUUGGACUCAAAUCUUCUCAAGAAUUGUUGAGUUAUACUUUGUGUUCAGGCUGUUGUAUCAUGGAAGGGAAAAGUCAAGAGGGACUACUACUGGACCGGUGAAAAACAUUUGUUGCAGUGGGAUUGAAUAUCCUUAAAGAGAGCAAGAUAUUCAAGCCUCCACCGGAAGACAUUUUAUUUCUUCAUUUUUCAGUUGUAAUCUUGCAAUUUUAAUAUCUUGUAAUGUUUCACUAAUAAUCUUAAGGAGAUUCAUAAUGGCUACAAUUUAAAAAACCACGAAUGUUAAGAUGGAAGACCUUAUCAAGCCAUUUCGGUUCAAUGGUAACCAUUUGAAGAGAUGUAAGCGUAAGGAAAUAAAUCCGGAUGUAGGAGUUAGGAGAAAGCUGACGAGAUGUUGCAGAAAAAGCCACAUAAGGGCAUGACCUACAAACCAUAGGUCCAUUCACGGGUCCGUAGGAUAAGGGUGUAGAUUGAUGAGCAAGGCUUGAAGAGAAAAUAAGGAAAUUCUUGACUAAGUGUGGAACUAGGACAACGAUCGACGAAAUAUAGGUCUGCCUAUGGACAAUACUGCACGUCCAUAAAAUAAUUCAAAUAAGGUGUUCCAGUACCCGAUCAUAAAGAACUAAAUAUGAGACUACGGAGGAAGAUCAACAGACCGUGAAUCGAGUCACGGUCUGUGCUGGUAAAGCCUUCAUUUUUGACUGAAACAUGGAGAUUCAAGCUUCUAAAAAUUGCGUUAAGUCCUAAACCACGGAAAGGACCUAUGCACCAUAGGUCAGAGAUCUGUCUGCAGGUCAGUUCAUCGAUUACAACCACGUCCAGAAACUUUAUUUCAUUACUUAAUUUCCUUUUUAAUUAGGACUUCUUUUUCUAUAUAUAAGUCAUGUAAACCUCGCUUUUGGGGGUUAAACAUCCAGUUCAAGUUUUUGUCUUGGGAGAUUAAUUUGUAUCUUUAGCAAUUCUUGAGUUCCUAUAUUUGUUUUGAUGAUUGUUACAAUAAAUUUCAAUUGGAGAUUCUGGGUUUCUUCUAUUCAAUACGUUA